ensembl:snRNA
UAAUUGUAUGAAAGGAGAGGAGGUUAGCACUCCCCUUGACAAGGAUGGAAGAGGCCUUUGGGCCUGACAACAUGCAUACUUCAUGGCAUCUAACCUUCGUUUUUAAGGGAGCGUUUCU